AGUGAACGCUGGCGGUAGGCCUAACACACGCAAGUCGAACGGCAGCACAGUAAGAGCUUGCUCUUACGGGUGGCGAGUGGCGGACGGGUGAGGAAUACAUCGGAAUCUACUUUUUCGUGGGGGAUAACGUAGGGAAACUUACGCUAAUACCGCAUACGACCUACGGGUGAAAGCAGGGGAUCUUCGGACCUUGCGCGAUUGAAUGAGCCGAUGUCGGAUUAGCUAGUUGGCGGGGUAAAGGCCCACCAAGGCGACGAUCCGUAGCUGGUCUGAGAGGAUGAUCAGCCACACUGGAACUGAGACACGGUCCAGACUCCUACGGGAGGCAGCAGUGGGGAAUAUUGGACAAUGGGCGCAAGCCUGAUCCAGCCAUUCCGCGUGGGUGAAGAAGGCCUUCGGGUUGUAAAGCCCUUUUGUUGGGAAAGAAAAGCAGCAGGUUAAUACCCCGCUGUUCUGACGGUACCCAAAGAAUAAGCACCGGCUAACUUCGUG
rnacentral:rRNA from 1 species